GGAAAACAAUCUCUGUAGGUGUAGGUGUACGGCCAAUCGAAGGUAAAAAAGCAGGUCAGAAUCGAUCGUCGUGUAUCGGAAAGGAGAGUGAGGUCGAGAGAGUUUCACCGAAGGGAAGUUUCGAAAGGGGCGGCACUGUCGUCAUCGGCAUUCUAACCAAGCUCGUCCGCUUUUAAAUGAACGACCCCUCGACAACGAAAUCGUUUGCGUACGCGCUUAUGCGUAUGCAUGUAUUGCACGAACGUGCAUACGGACGAAUACCUUCUAGGUACGAAAGGAAGCCAACUUCCUUCCUACGUUCGAUGUCACGCGCACCACCGUUUAUAUAAUCCAUCCUGUGACGUCAGGCUGUUUAAUCCAUUCAUUACUGGAUCAUUGCGCGCUAUCUCUCUCUCUCUCUCUCUCUCUCUCUCUCUUUCUGCGUUAUGUAGAAGCAUGUAUCAGAGCGAAGGGAGGAACGACAAAGAACGCAUCGGAUACUGAAUGAUUCGUCAAAAAAUUUGCGAAAUAUAUUUUCACGUGUAGCCUGCUACGCGAGUGUACGAACAUAUGUACGGUGUAAUUCGAUUAAAAACCUGAUAUUGUUAUCAUAUUUCCAACGUUCUGAUAAAAGAACAUUUCUCACUUGUUGAUUGCCUAAUCACGACAGCCGCGAAUCUCUAGAUCUGUAGUAAUUUGAAAGUGUCCAAAUGUAUGUGCCAAUGCACACAUAAAUUACACUGUAACGGAUUCUAUCUUGGCCUACAGGAAAAUCAGUUGAGAUGGGAGGAAGCGUGUGCGUUGUGUGGUAACGACGAGUGGGCGGACACGUAUUCGAUACCGAUAGAACAAUUCGAAUGUUCGCUAACUGAAUCUCGUCGGUCGAUAGAGAACUGCGUUUAUCGCAACUUCCGCCGUAGCUUGGUACAAACGUUCCACUUUAUUAGAAUCACAAAAAUGUCAAAUAUAAACCAAGUGAACGUUUCCAUCUUGACAUUGUUUUAAACGCGAUGAGGAGUAUCAGAAUCGAGGUUUCUCGAGUUUCGCAACGUCCGGUAUUCCGGAACGGUCGAACGAGGGUUUUCCUCGAUCGACGCUCGCGAAGAGGAACACGAGGCCAGCGAAUAGACUUAAAGAGUCGCGGUUGCACGCACACCGCUCCGAACGAUAACGAGAGAAGUAGAAGCGGAACGUUGGCGGAAUAACGAUCGUUUUCCGUGCAACCGUAUCUUCGUGUGCCCUCUCAGGACAAAACUUAUUCCGAUGUGGUCACCUCUGACGUAAACGUGCUCUCUGCCACUCGAUAAGAAUUCUGACGCCGCGCAUUCAGAGCCACGGACGAGGGAAAGGGGAAGCCUAGCGCGAAGGGGAAAGGGGCUGACCAACGGAAUCGGAUAUCGAUACGAGCAGUAAAGAUUACGAAACUGAACUACGCUAAUAGCAAAUCGUCCAUGCAAUGAUCUUCGACUAUGAGAAGAAAUAAACUAAAUCGCAUACCUACGUCAUGUUUUCGCUUCGUAACGGCUAAAUUCGAUGUUUACGCAAAUUUAUAUUUUAACAAACGUAACCAGAGGUAUGGUACCUAUGCGUAUUGGGCUGGACUCGAAAUUCAACGAACGAGACUUUAAAUAGUUGAAGCAGUUGAGGAUGUUUGUAUCAGUAAAUUUUUUAAAAAUAAGCCGAGGUAUAGAAAAUUACAAUUUAAAGGAAGCAACAAUUCGUCAGAAACAUUUAAUCUAGAGAAAUAAUCGGUAAGCUGUUAAAAUUUUUAAGCGAUUUUACACAGCUGUAACACGUGGUAUGAUGGCGUAUUUCGAUACGAAGUAGAUUCGGACGGUCUCAUUCAGUCGCAACGAUGUGUAGCGGCUUGACGCUAAUCGCGUGUCACGUGUAGGACACGGUAACGCGUUUAAGCGAAUAGUAAUUUAGUGCGAGUGCGGGACAGAAGGUGAAGAAGGGUAAAAAGAGUGUGCUAAAGUUUGCACGGAUUCCUUUCAUUUUACUCGUGUCGGUAGAAUCUGAAAAGACCUGUUGCGCGUGCUGCUUUUCGUCGUUUCCUUUCAUGACGAUGCGUGGAUGUGGACACGCGAGCUCACGACGAUUUCCUGCGAAUGCACAUAUAUGUACACGUACGCUACAGGUAUUUACGCAACUAAGCAUUCGAGCUUGGCGCAGGUGGCGCUAUGACGCAAACGAUUUAUUGCUUAUUCGCCGUCUGUCUGAUAUCGAAACCGUCGUCUUUAAUACAAACAAUAACGAGCCUUUACGUUGUUUAAUUUCGUCUAUCAAUUUUGCAAACGAACGCGCCUAAUCGCCGUCGAACUUUCGUUAUCGUUGUGAAAUUUGAAGCGAUACGGGAAACGUUUAAACAAAUUCACAUUUUUGUGAAUAUAAGUCAAGAAAUGGAGUCUAAAUAAUGGCUUGUUUCACCUAUCACGUAUUAUCGCGAAUAGUCCGAAGACUUCUACUACAAAGUAUUGUAUAUGCGAGUGGCUUCGAUUUGUGAGCGGUUUCCGCGCAAAUGCUUGGAACAACGCAGCAAUAGAGUAGCAGUGACGUCAAGGAGAGAAAUCGAAAUGUAUGUGUACGAGCGUAGAAGAUUCGCACGGCAGAUUCGAGUGCGUUGACCCAGUUAUAGAACGAGCGAAAGAUAAACUUCUGGAUUAAC